rnacentral:rRNA from 1 species
ACGCUUGAAGUCAGUCACGUUGUCCAGGGAUCAACCUUGCUUUUGCUUGGUGCACUUUCUGGUUCAAUGGGUCAGCAUCAAUUUUGAUCAUUGGAAAAAGAUUGAGGGAAUGUGGCAUCUUUGGAUGUGUUAUAGCCCUUUGUCGCAUACAAUGGUUGGGAUUGAGGAACUCAGCACGCCGCAAGGCCGGGUUUUUAACCACGUACGUGCUUAGGAUGCUGGCAAUAUGGCUUUAAUCGACCCGUCUUGAAACACGGACCAAGGAGUC